rnacentral:tRNA from 1 species
GGAGUUGUGGCUCAGCGGUAGAGCACUCGCCUCACACAUGCGAGACUCUGGGUUCAAUCCUCAGCACCA